rnacentral:rRNA from 1 species
UACGUAGGGGGCAAGCGUUAUCCGGAUUUACUGGGUGUAAAGGGGGCGCAGACGGCGAUGCAAGCCAGGAGUGAAAGCCCGGGGCCCAACCCCGGGACUGCUAUUGAAACUGCACAGCUUGAGUGAAGUAGAGGUAGGCGGAAUUCCCGGUGUAGCGGUGAAAUGCGUAGAGAUCGGGAGGAACACCAGUGGCGAAGGCGGCCUACUGGGCUUUAACUGACGCUGAGGCACGAAAGCGUGGGGAGCAAACAGG